rnacentral:rRNA from 1 species
AUUGAACGCUGGCGGCAGGCUUAACACAUGCAAGUCGAACGAGUGGCGGACGGGUGAGUAAUGCUUGGGAAUCUGCCUGAUGGAGGGGGAUAACUACUGGAAACUGUAGCUAAUACCGCGUACCAUCGGAUGAGCCCAAAUGGGAUUAGGUAGUAGGUGGGGUAAUGGCCUACCUAGCCGACGAUCCCUAGCUGGUCUGAGAGGAUGACAAGCCACACCGGGACGGAGACACGGCCCAGACUCCUACGGGAGGCAGCAGUGGGGAAUAUUGCGCAAUGGGGGAAACCCUGACGCAGCCAUGCCGCGUGAAUGAAGAAGGCCUUCGGGUUGUAAAGUUCUUUCGGUGAGGAGGCGUUACUCGCAGAAGAAGCACCGGCUAACUCCGUGCCAGCAGCCGCGGUAAUUC